AACGGAGAAAGAAACAGAGAGAGAGAGAGAGAGAGAGAGAGAGAGAGAGAGAGAGAGGAUGAGGCGUGGGACAAGGAGAAAGAAACAGAGAAAGAGGCAGAAUCGAUUGGGCAUAAUAAGAAAUCAAAGAGUUUCAAAACACGAUUUUGCAGACCCUAAACCUAGGCAGAACGGUAGUUAUGUGCUGCUCCUAUUCAUUUAAGGGAGUAAACCAGCAAAACAUGAAAAGGUUUUCGAAUUGGUUUUAGCACUUAAAUCAAAUGAAACCAUGUUGAGUUCAAGCGUAAAAGCAGGGUUGUCAAUGUAAUAGUGUAUGAAAAUUGGGAAAUGUCUUGAUUUCAUUGGAUGAAAGUUAAGUUCAAAACUAACCUAUCUAGCUAGCUGUUUUUUUUUUUUUUUGGGGGCUUACCAAGUAAUAUUUCUACAAUCAUUUGAUGAUUUUAUGGCUAUUUAAUAAAAUGAUCUGACAUGUUCUUUUGUUUUGUUUAAUUGAGGAUUACAUGGUUUGUUAGAUUGGAGUCUCAUAUAUUCCCCAAAUUUCAGGUGCUUUUUUAGAUAGUAUGUUACUCUACUAUUUUCUCUGUUUGGUAAAUGGGAAAUUGUGAAAAAAGAAAAGGAGAAGAUUGGGCUUUUGGGUUUUUUAAGGUUAUUCGUGAGUCAAUCAUUUAUGCAUUUACACUUCAUUUGGCUAGAUUUAGUCCGUCCUCCGCAAAUUUCAGGUACCUUUUUUUCUUUCUCCUUGGUUGGCUGGAAGUUCAAGAAGAUUUUUAGACGUUAUCAACUUCCUUACAGCAGACAUUUUUGCAAGAAACGUUGCUGGAACAAAUUGAUAGAGUGGUAUUAAUGCUCCUAAGGUUCCUUUAGUGGAAUGGACUAAGGUUUGUAUGCCGGUGCAGAAGGGUGGUUUAGGGAUUCGACGGCUGAGAAGAUUUAAUUCUGCUUUGUUAGGCAAAUGGUUGUGGAGACAUGGAAUGGAGAGAGAUGCCCUUUGGAGGAAGGUCAUUGAGACUAAAUAUGGGGAUGAAGGGGGUGGUUGGUGUACCAAACCGGUGUUAGGGACCUAUGGUGUUAGUGGCUGGCUGGACUUUUCUAAAUUUCUUCAGUUUGAUGUCGGAUAAAGUUUUGGGAGGAUGUAUAGUGUAGGGAUUGUUCCCUUAAGGAAGCAUUUCCAGAAUUGUAUAGUAUUAGUCGGGCAAGGGAGUUUUUUCUGUCAAAAGUGAUGUGUUUCUCCAAUGGGUGGCUUCAUUGGGACAUUCGUUUCCGUCGUCCACCACAAGAUUGGGAGUCAGAAUCAUUUGAUUGUUUUUGGGUUGUGCUUUAUUCCAUGAAUGUGCAGGGUGUUGGUGAUGACAAACUUUGCUAGAAGCCAGCAAUGAGGAAAGGUUUUGAGGUUCGAGGCUUCUAUCACUCUUUAUCUCCUUCUGUCAUUGAUUUUCCUUGGAAAAUGGUGUGGCAAUCCAAGGUUCCUCCUAGAGUAAGGUUCUUUUCUUGGACUGCUGCCUUAGGUAAGAUCUUAACUACAAAUAAUUUUUGGAAGAGGCAUAUUGCAGUGUUAGAGUGGUGCUUUAUGUGUAAAAGGUGUGGAGAAUCGGUGGAUCAUCUUCUUCUUCAUUGUCCUAUAGAAUAUGAGUUGUGGUCUAUGGUUUUUUGUUUGUUUGGUAUACAUUGGGUUAUGCUGUAUAAAGUUAGUGAGGUAUUAGCUUCUUGGCAGGGGAAGUUUGGUAGACAUUAAAAUAUAGGUUUAUGGAGGUUUGUGCCGCAUUGUUUGUUUUGGUGCUUAUGGCGGGAGCCGAAUGCUAGAUGCUUUGAGAAUUGUGAACGGUCUAUUCUUGACAUUAAGUAUUUCUUUUUCCGUACUCUCCUUGAGUGGAGUUUAGUUUUGCCUUCCUAUUCUUGUCUUUCUCUCCCUGAUCUUAUAGAUCGUUGUAAUCUGGGUUUUUAAUUUGUGCCUCUGUAAUACAUUUCCAGUGUACUUGGUUGGUUUUUUUUUAAUAAAAUUUCUUACAUUACUUGUCAAAAAAAAUUGAUAUUAUAUUUUUAUCUACCAAUAAUAACUUGCUACUUUAACAAUUAGAAAUUUGUUGUGCCUCUAAACCUAUCGAAAAGAAAAUACUAGGGCUUUUGUUAAGAGAAAAUAUAUGGACAUAAAAAAUUCUACACCCGGUUGAUCGAUAUGACAGAUUAUUAGUGGUAAGUAAAAAAAUAAUGUCAAUGGUAAGUUCAGAUAAAAACCAGUAAAAACUUGUCAACUCAACUGUUGUGAAAUUUUUUAUAUCUUUAGUAUUAAAUUUUUGUUAAUGGGGCCAUUAGACAUUAGUUAAGAAAGAGUUAGCAUAAAGGACAAAAGUUAAUUAAAAUGUGAACUUUUAAUUGAAAAUGGUGCAAUUGUCCAUAAAAAGUAGCUCAAAUGUAUUUGGUUUUUCAUCUUUAAGGAAUUCCCUCAAAUCAAAUUGUAAGACAGAUAAUAAGUUUGUAGUAGCUGUAAGCCUAACAUCAUUUCACACAGAUAUAACCAACUCCAAAAAAAAUUGUUAAUAACUACAAGCUAUAGAUGUAUGUAAUAAGUUCGUAGUGCUUACCCAUUUAGAGUAUAAUACUAUAAUCUAAUCUCUCUUCUAGUCAUUGUCAUAGAAUUAAUAUGAGAAUUUUAUUGAAACAUUAGAUAACAUAUGAGCAAAAGUCAUUCAUUCAUAUGGCGCAUUUAUCCUUGGUUUCCUAAAUGGGUUUUCUUGUUUGGUGCCUUUUACAUUCCAUCGUAGGAUUGAUAGAAACAUGCGUGAAUCCUAUUGGUCAUUGCAAAAUUAUUACUGUCAUUUGGGUUGUUAAAUGGAGUCUUUUUUACCUCGUCACCAUAUAACUAUUCUUAGAUGAAGUAAGCUGCCCCAUGAUACAUUUCAUGGAAGCUUCAAGAGCUUAAUAAGCUCCUAGUUAGAACUCCACUGGAAACCUCCAAAACCACUUAAUUGACACAUCGUAAAGGACUUAGGUGGGACCAAUGGCAUAUGUUUGCGUACUAAGAAUUGGAGAGAUUAUGACUUAAUUUAGCUACUGUAUAGUUUUGUUAGAUAGAAGGAAACUAAGUGAGGUUCAAUGGGCUACAAUUUGGACUUAACAAAUAGACAAAAAGCCGAAAGUUACAUGAUGCUUCACACAUGCAACUUGACUGAUCCACUCAAGUUGCAACUUGGCCAUUCCCUACACACUAUAAAUGGACUCUCGCCCACACCUUGUAAACUCGUACCAUUGUCAAUAUAGAGUUAUUAGAUAGCAGCUAAGCAUUCUCUUGAAUUCUUCGGCUAUUGAGAGAUAGAGAGAGUCUCAAAGGUCUUUAGGCUUGUAGUUAAGGAGGAUUUUUAGAUUGUGUUUGAAAAAUGGCCCCUCACCAAACUUUGACUUUAGCUUUUGGGCUUCUAGGUACGUAGUCACAAACUGUAAUUGUAUGUAUAUGUUAGAACAUUUAAAUGUAUUUGCUUGAAAACAUUAUCUUGGAUAUUCUAACAUCAUAUACUUAACCCAGGCUAUCAACGUGAAUCAAAGCAAGUUAAAUGAAUGGGUCAAUUAUGUAUUGGUCUGCUUAACUCAUAACAACUUGAAAAUGACAUAGUGGGAAAAAUGCUCAUACACCCCCUAAACUUUCAACCACUGGCCAAAAGACCUCCCUCAACUUUUAUAAUGGCCAAUUUACUCCUUAAACUAUUCACACUUGCCAAAUUAAUACAUCUGUUAGUUUGGUGUUAAAAAACUAACGUUUAAAUCACGUGAGAAGCACGCAAAAAUUACAAAGGUGAAUCAGCAUAGUUGGGAGGGAAAGAAAAAGCCAGGUUCAGAGAGAGGAAGAUGAUAGACUGUGGAACCAGAAUCUUGAACCACCGUGACAGCCUUCUCUCCGGUGCCGGAGUUUUUGUCCUGCAAUUGCCUUGCCACUGUCAUGGAUGAAUGUCCACUGUCACUCCCUGGAAAUUCACAUUCUAUGCCAAAUGCUCAAGCUCCUCAAUCCCAAUACGAUUCUAUUGAGGCUGAUGGCCAAUUUGAAAUUGUUCAUGUUCCAAUUGAAUUGGAGGAUGACGAGGAUGAUGAAGAUUACAAUUUAAGGGAUUUUUUUGAAUCUGAUGAUGAUAUAAAUGAAGAUUUUGGUAUGAAGGAUGAUGGAAUAAAUAGAGCAAUUGGGGGCAAGUAGCUUGAGGGAGUUUGGAAUGGUAAAGAAGGCUCAGACCAUAGGGACAAUGAUGAGUCGAGGAGUGUAGAAGGGUCAUUUGAUGAUGAAGGGAAUUCGAGGCCUAGGUUCCUUGAGUUACUGGCAUGAAAAAUGUAUAGCUAAUAAAGGAUCUCAAAUUUGCAUCACAUGUAGUCUUCAAGGAGUCACUCAUUUGAUAUUUAAAUUCAUGGCAGAUUAAGAUCCUUUUAAGAAUACUAAUGGAGCCAAUAUACUUUUGUUUUUCAAUAUUGCUGGAAAAGUGUAAUUAUUGAUUCAUUGAGUACUAUUUUUUGGCAAACAAUGUACCAUUUGUAAGCACUCAUUGAUAUUUCAAUUCAUGGCAAAUUAAGACACUCA